UUAAAAUUUCAUUCCCACCAACAAAGUAAUCGCACCCAUUCUCCCAAAUUUCACCAAGCCCUAACCCUAGCGCGAUUCAUCCCGUCCCCACUUUCAGCACGUCGUCUCCGUCAACCACGCAUCGCCACCAUGGACAACACUUCACCGCCGCCGACCACACCCCGCAUCAGUCGUUCGCAUCUGUUCGUCCUCCCAAAUAACUCAAGCCCUAUUCCUUCGUUCUAAAAAAUAAAGCAAAUCCUCACUCGCAGAUGUCACUGCCUUCGACCACGCUCCGCCUCCGGAAAACACUCACCCCCGCCGUUGUUCACCUCCAGUCUUCCUCCCAAGAAACCUAAUCCAUAAUUCUGUUGGAACAAACCCCUCAGUCGAGAGUUCCAGCCACCUGACCUAGUUGAUCCCCUCCCCGCACACCCACCGCCAUCGUCAAUGGCCAAAAAAAAAAGAAUCUCGCUCUGGAGCCCUCGGUGAAGUUCAGGCGAAAGAGAAGUAAAUUCAUACAAGUUCCAUGUGUACCCAGGAAGGUUUCCGACUUCAACAAUGAGAAGCUAUUUCGUCUUAGUGGUGACUCCCUAAGAUUGAUCCAACGAAAGAGAUGAGCAGAAGUAAGGAAUGGUAUGACAGUGAAAUCACAAGGUUACUAGACGAGGCUCAUAUCUUAAGAGAGGAACCUGAUGAGAAGCAUAAGGAGACAUGAGAUGUUGAUCCGUGUAUUCAUAAAGAUAUUGUGGACUCCUCAUCGAAGGAUGAGCCCCUUCGGACUUCAGACAAAGCUACGAAGGAUACUGAAUGCCCAUCUAAACCAAUCAAUGAAACCCCCCGAUGAAGAUUCAAAAAACCUGCUAGGAGUCAUCUGAAGAAACUUCAACGCUUGUUGAGAAAUUAUUUUCCUCGGGGAUGACACAAGAGCUACAUGAUAAUAUAAUGCGAUUGCAAUGAUUGGUUCAGAGGAGGAGGGUGUUGCAAAUGGGCCAUUUUCAGCAAUCCUCAAUGACUGACGGUUGUUCAAAUUCGAUGUGCAGACCUUAAGGUUUGGGAGCGACAUCUCCAACACUAUAAUAGACAUGGGUUUCUUAUAUCAGUCAGAAAUAAUUUCUGGCUUCGAAAAAGAGAAGCGCCCAAUGUUGAAUUACUAUUUCCACGACUAUGAGUUUUUUCUUCCCGUAUUUCUGUGCGAAUAAUUGGAUAGUUUGCAAUAUCGGUGGUUAGGAAAAAGAUCUUCUACUUUAAUAGCUUGAAUCCGAGGGACGCUUGGGAGGGUGACUCGGUCUUGUUCUCAAGGUUGUUUUCAUACUCCAAAUAUGCAGGAACUUCGUUAUAUCGAGACCGGCAAUGAGAUGGAGAGUAUAGCAUUGAACUUCCUCCUCAUAUACCAUAACUAGAUGUCAAAAGUUGUGGUGUCUUUACUAUGUUGUACAUAGAGCACUGGCCACGCGAAAUCCCCCUGGCUGUCUGUGAGUAAAUGUGCAGAGUCGACAUAUUGGACAUGAAGAAGAAACAAAUUUGUGCUACUCUAUUUUUCGGGAGAAAGGAAGAGCAUAUGCACUAAGGAGCGUGUGCUGGCAAGGCUCAGAAAAAAGGCUGCAGAAGAAGUAGAACAGAGAAAAGAACGUCCAUCACGUUAUGUGACGAGAGGUAUUGUCGAGUGUGGUAGGGGGAGGGGGAGGGGCAGGGUUGGUUAAUGUUGAACAUAUUUGGUUGCCUUUUUUUUUUUUAUGACUGCAUAUUUUUUGCAAUGUGCUCAUUGCAUAUCUCGGAUUUAUAUCGAUAUCCUUAUCUGAUUUUAUCGUACUUUUAUGUGGUUUAUAGAUAUAAGCUAGAUGAUGUCUAUCUCAAAUAAGUAUGCGAUGUGAAUGGUAUGCUAACGGUAAAACCUUUCUUGCUCUCCUUUUUGCAUGAUGUA